CGAGUUCCCAUACGAACACCAAAGUUAAGCAACGUCGAGCUUGGUCAGUACCUAAAUGGGUAACCACUUGAGAAUACCAGGUGUUGUAAG